rnacentral:misc_RNA from 1 species
GGGAAGACCAAGGAUAAUGCAAAAUUGAGGGAAGAUUUGAAGGAGUUUUAUUGGCAUCCUAAGUUAGAGAAGAAUGCAGCAACUGGGAAGUAUCCUAAAGCAUGUUACACUUUGGAUAAAUAGUCAAAAGCAGUGCUAUGUGAAUGGUUUACAAAUCUGAGAUUCCCAAAUGGUUAUUUAUCAAAUAUGGGCAGGUGUAUGGACAUGCAUAAAUUGAAGUUGUUUGGAAUGAAAAACCAUGAAUGUCAUGUCUUUAUGCAGAGAUAACUUCCC